rnacentral:rRNA from 1 species
GCGGAAGAUGUAACGGGGCUAAAACUAUGUGCCGAAGCUGCGGAUGUAUACUUUGUAUACGUGGUAGGGGAGCGUUCUGUAAGCCGAUGAAGGUGUGUUGAGAAGCAUGCUGGAGGUAUCAGAAGUGCGAAUGCUGACGUGAGUAACGACAAAACGGGUGAAAAACCCGUUCGCCGAAAGACCAAGGGUUCCAGUCCAACGUUAAUCGGGGCUGGGUGAGUCGACCCCUAAGGCGAGGCCGAAAGGCGUAGUCGAUGGGAAAAUGGUUAAUAUUCCAUUACUUCUGUGUAAUGCGAUGAGAGGACGGAGAAGGCUAAAUCAGCCUGGCGUUGGUUGUCCAGGUGAAAGGAUGUAGGCAUGUAUCUUAGGCAAAUCCGGGGUACUCUAUGCUGAGAUCUGAUAGCAAGCUGUACUUGUACAGCGAAGUGGUUGAUGCCAUGCUUCCAGGAAAAGUCUCUAAGCUUCAGUUACACAGGAAUCGUACCCGAAACCGACACAGGUGGUCAGGUCGAGUAGACCAAGGCGCUUGAGAGAACUCUGCUGAAGGAACUAGGCAAAAUGGUACCGUAACUUCGGGAGAAGGUACGCUGUUGUUGGUGAUGGAACUCGCUUCCUGAGCUGACGACAGCCGCAGAAACCAGGCCGCUGCAACUGUUUAUUAAAAACAUAGCACUCUGCAAACACGAAAGUGGACGUAUAGGGUGUGAUGCCUGCCCGGUGCUGGAAGGUUAAUUGAUGGGGUUAGCGUAAGCGAAGCUCUUGAUCGAAGCCCCAGUAAACGGCGGCCGUAACUAUAACGGUCCUAAGGUAGCGAAAUUCCUUGUCGGGUAAGUUCCGACCUGCACGAAUGGCAUAAUGAUGGCGGCGCUGUCUCCAGCAGAGGCUCAGUGAAAUCGAAAUCGCUGUGAAGAUGCAGUGUACCCGCGGCUAGACGGAAAGACCCCGUGAACCUUUACUGCAGCUUGACACUGAACUUUGACCUUACUUGUGUAGGAUAGGUGGGAGGC